rnacentral:rRNA from 1 species
CCUACGGGAGGCAGCAGUCGAGGAUCUUCGGCAAUGGGCGCAAGCCUGACCGAGCGACGCCGCGUGUGGGAUGAAGGCCCUUGGGUUGUAAACCACUGUCAGGGGGGACGAAAUGCGCGCGGGUACUCCCGUGCGUUUGACAGAGCCCCAGAGGAAGCACGGGCUAAGUUCGUGCCAGCAGCCGCGGUAAUACGAACUGUGCAAACGUUAUUCGGAAUCACUGGGCUUAAAGGGUGCGUAGGCGGCUUAUUAAGCAGGGUGUGAAAGCCCCCGGCUCAACCGGGGAAUAGCGCUCUGAACUGAUGAGCUGGAGCGAGGCAGGGGUGCGCGGAACUUCCAGUGGAGCGGUGAAAUGUGUUGAUAUUGGAAGGAACACCGGAGGCGAAAGCGGCGCACUGGGUCUUGUCUGACGCUGAGGCACGAAAGCCAGGGGAGCAAACGGGAUUAGAUACCCCGGUAGUCCUGGCCGUAAACGCUGAGUACUAGUGGGGAGGUCCGCGAGGGCUUUCUCACGGAGCGAAAGUUUUAAGUACUCCGCCUGGGGAGUAUGGUCGCCAGGCUGAAACUCAAAUGAAUUGACGG